rnacentral:rRNA from 1 species
AUGGUGAAUGGCUGGAAGGAGAGAACGUUGUCUUUCGGAGGAAAAUAAGCUUUGAUAAAGGCGGUGUCCCAAGCCAUACCCACAUAUGCAAUGAGUGUUUUCAAAUUCUCUAAGAAAAUUUGCAAGGGGGUCAUUGAUGCAAUGUCGUGGUAUUGGUGGGGAGAUGAGGACAAUCGUGGGCGAAUGCAUUGGUUCGCUUGGUGGAAGACGUGUAUCCCAAAAGAGAGGGGUGGCAUGGGAUUCUGAUAUGUCCAUUCUUUCAACCUUGCUAGGUUAGCUAAGCAAUGUUGGAGGCUCAUUGAGAAUUUUGAUUCCCUUUGUGCAAGAGCACUUCAAACUAGAUAUUACUCCUGUGGUGACAUAUUGAACCGCACCUUGAAGAAAGGGUCUUCAUUUGUGUGA